rfam:Schizophyllum commune H4-8 unplaced genomic scaffold SCHCOscaffold_6, whole genome shotgun sequence.
UGCCCCGUGGCCCAGAUGGUUAAGGCGUGUGACUGUUACAACAAUUGUACCCAAUCACAAGAUCGAGAGUUCGAGCCUCUCCGGGGCAG